ensembl:misc_RNA Y_RNA Y RNA
GACUGGUCAGAGUGCAGUGGUGUUUACAACUAAUUGAUCACAACCAGUUACAGAUUUCUUUGUUCCUUCUCUAAUCCCACUGCUUCAGUUGACUAGCCUAAU